AGGGAUUGCCUCAGUAACGGCGAGUGAAGCGGCAACAGCUCAAAUUUGAAAUCUGGCUCCUUCGGGGCCCGAGUUGUAAUUUGCAGAGGAUGCGUCGGGUACGGGUGCCUUCCGAGUUCCCUGGAACGGGACGCCAUAGAGGGUGAGAGCCCCGUCUGGUAGGAUACCCAGCCCGUGUGACGCUCCCUCGACGAGUCGAGUAGUUUGGGAAUGCUGCUCUAACGGGAGGUAUACUCCUUCCAAGGCUAAAUACCGGCUGGAGACCGAUAGCGCACAAGUAGAGUGAUCGAAAGAUGAAAAGCACUUUGAAAAGAGAGUCAAACAGCACGUGAAAUUGUUAAAAGGGAAGCGCUCGCUACCAGACUUGGGUUCGGCGGUUCAACCGGGGCCACGCCCCGGGGCAUUCCGCCGGCCCAGGCCAGCAUCAGCUUUCCGUCGGGGGUAAAGGCGUCGGGAAUGUGGCUCCCCUUCGGGGGAGUGUUAUAGCCCGUCGUGUCAUACCCUUCGGGGGGCUGAGGUACGCGCUUCUGCAAGGAUGCUGGCGUAAUGGUAGCUAGUGACCCGUCUUG
rnacentral:rRNA from 1 species